rnacentral:rRNA from 1 species
GAUGAACGCUGACAGAAUGCUUAACACAUGCAAGUCAACUUGAAUUUGGGUUUUUAACUUAGGUUUGGGUGGCGGACGGGUGAGUAACGCGUAAAGAACUUGCCUCACAGCUAGGGACAACAUUUGGAAACGAAUGCUAAUACCUAAUAUUAUGAUAAUAGGGCAUCCUAUAAUUAUGAAAGCUAUAAGCGCUGUGAGAGAGCUUUGCGUCCCAUUAGCUAGUUGGAGAGGUAACGGCUCACCAAGGCGAUGAUGGGUAGCCGGCCUGAGAGGGUGAUCGGCCACAAGGGGACUGAGACACGGCCCUUACUCCUACGGGAGGCAGCAGUGGGGAAUAUUGGACAAUGGACCAAGAGUCUGAUCCAGCAAUUCUGUGUGCACGAUGAAGUUUUUCGGAAUGUAAAGUGCUUUCAGUUAGGAAGAAAGAAAUGACGGUACCAACAGAAGAAGUGACGGCUAAAUACGUG